CGCGGCCUAUCAGCUUGUUGGUGGGGUAAUGGCCUACCAAGGCAACGAUGGGUAGCUGGUCUGAGAGGAAGAUCAGCCACACUGGAACUGAGACACGGUCCAGACUCCUACGGGAGGCAGCAGUGGGGAAUUUUGCGCACUGGGCGAAAGCCUGACGCAGCAACGCCGCGUGAGUGAUGAAGGCUUUCGGGUCGCAAAGCUCUGUCAGGGGGGAAGAGACACCUGAAGGUUAAUAUCCUUUAGGCUUGACGGUACCCUCAAAGGAAGCACCGGCUAACUCCGUGCCAGCAGCCGCGGUAAUACGGAGGGUGCAAGCGUUGUUCGGAAUUAUUGGGCGUAAAGCGCGUGUAGGCGGUUUGUUAAGUCUGAUGUGAAAGCCCCGGGCUCAACCCGGGAAGUGCAUUGGAAACUGACGAACUUGAGUACGGGAGAGGGAAGUGGAAUUCCGAGUGUAGGAGUGAAAUCCGUAGAUAUUCGGAGGAACACCGGUGGCGAAGGCGGCUUCCUGGACCGAUACUGACGCUGAGACGCGAAAGCGUGGGGAGCAAACAGGAUUAGAUACCCUGGUAGUCCACGCCGUAAACGAUGGGUACUAGGUGUCGCGGGUAUUGACCCCUGCGGUGCCGAAGCUAACGCAUUAAGUACCCCGCCUGGGAGUACGG
rnacentral:rRNA from 1 species